ACUGUUUACCAAAAACAUAGCCCUCGGCCAAUAUGAAAAUAGAUGUAUAGAGGGUGAUGCCUGCCCAAUGGUUGUAUCUAAAAGCGGUUGAUAAAAGUCGACCUCGUAAGGACAAUUGAAUGGCCGCGGUAACACUGACCGUGAUAAUGUAGCGUAAUCAAUAGCCAAUUAAUUGUUGGCCAGUAUGAAUGGCGCCACGAAGGCCCCACUGUCUUAAGGAAAUUCCCAGUGAAAUUGAAUUCGUAGUGAAGAUGCUACGUCCAAUUUGUUAGACGAAAAGACCCCGUUGAGCUUUACUGGGGCACUUACACGGCCCCGGCCUUCCCGUGUCCGGGAACCGGCCGAAUUUAAAUGGGUGGUUUAGACUAUGUGGCAGCCCCCCGCCGGGGCAGAUGAAACCCCACUCCCCCAUGUCAAAGGGGCUAACCCCCCCUUGGGGGGGAG
rnacentral:rRNA from 1 species